UACAGAGGUCCCGAGCGUUGUUCGGAUUCAUUGGGCGUAAAGGGCGCGUAGGCGGUUAAUUAAGUUGGAUGUGAAAUCCCUGGGCUUAACCUAGGACUGGCAUUCAAAACUAGUUGACUGGAGUAUGGUAGAGGGUGGCGGAAUUUCCGGUGUAGCGGUGAAAUGCGUAGAGAUCGGAAGGAACACCCGUGGCGAAGGCGGCCACCUGGACCAAUACUGACGCUGAGGCGCGAGAGCGUGGGGGAGCAAACAGG
rnacentral:rRNA from 1 species